GAUGAACGCUGGCGGCGUGCCUAAUACAUGCAUGUCGAGCGAACAGACGAGGAGCUUGCUCCUCUGACGUUAGCGGCGGACGGGUGAGUAACACGUGGAUAACCUACCUAUAAGACUGGGAUAACUUCGGGAAACCGGAGCUAAUACCGGAUAAUAUAUUGAACCGCAUGGUUCAAUAGUGAAAGACGGUUUUGCUGUCACUUAUAGAUGGAUCCGCGCCGCAUUAGCUAGUUGGUAAGGUAACGGCUUACCAAGGCAACGAUGCGUAGCCGACCUGAGAGGGUGAUCGGCCACACUGGAACUGAGACACGGUCCAGACUCCUACGGGAGGCAGCAGUAGGGAAUCUUCCGCAAUGGGCGAAAGCCUGACGGAGCAACGCCACGUGAGUGAUGAAGGUCUUCGGAUCGUAAAACUCUGUUAUUAGGGAAGAACAAAUGUGUAAGUAACUAUGCACGUCUUGACGGUACCUAAUCAGAAAGCCACGGCUAACUACGUG
rnacentral:rRNA from 1 species